GGUUGGUUGGUUUGGUUUUAAGCGUUAAACUUGGAUUUCCUACUUAGGCUAGAGAACCUAGUUGAGAAUCUGCUAGAAAUGAUAACACCAGUGAAAGUGACUUUUCCCUUACGGAUAUGAACCUGACUGUUGGCAGAGACUGCCAGGAACGAUAGCUGCCUCAGAGACAAUACAGCUCGUUGAAGAUGUAUUUUGUAAAACGUUAAGUUGCAGAUACGGUCGUGUUGCAGCAGGCGCAGUCUCUGGGCUCUCCCCUGCAGCCCCAAGUAAAGGCAGCUUUGGGCCUGUCGGCAAGGGCAGGGAUCUGGAGCCCUGUCUGAGUGUGCGAAGUGGGUGAUACGCGUGCAGGUAAGUCAGCUGGGAGCGUUUUUCAGUUCCUCCUGCAGGCACGAGUAGAUACAAGUGUAGCUGAACUAGCUGCAGGCCACCUACCCUGUGUAUGGUGAGCGAUGUAGGGAAGGACAGACAGUGGCCACCAUUGGUUGCAAAGGUCUCCCAAGAAAGUGAAUAAAUUGGUGAUGAUUAUUAUCCAGCCUAUGCUGGAUAAUGCGCUACUAUCAUCGCUGUGUUGCUGGCUGUGCCACAGCUUGUUUAAAGCCAGUUUGAGUAGCCGUGCAACACUAUUAUAUUGACUUUGUAGCCCUACACUGAAGGAAAAAGAAUGAUCCUGAGAUUUUUUAAUUCUUUUUCAUCUACGAGCACUGGGCAGAUGCUGAGGAUUCUCCCUCUCUCUCUUUGAGCUUGUUACCUGCAGUGGGGGCAGAGGGUGAGAUGGAGUUUCCCUGCCAGGUCCUGGGGCCUGAAUCUUUCGGAUCUGGACCCAGCAACUUCCUAGACAGAUACCUGUCCUGACCCUUGUAGCAGCACUUAAUGCUAAGUAAAUUCAAGGCUACACAGCGAUUGGAGCACUGCGGGAACAUACAAGGAACCAAGAUUUUCAAAAGCGCCUGUGGAUUUUGAAAUCUCAGACUUCAGGCAUCUAUCCUGAGAAAACCUAGGGAAACCCAGCGGCAAACUUGCACCAAAGCAACCACUUCUGCAAAACCAGUGCUGCUGUGUGUCUGCCCUACCCAGAAGCGUUCUCAAAAUAUUCUGCCUCCUAGGAUUUUCUAAAUACUCUCCAUUCUUCCCCAUCAUAAUUCACACCUUAUUUUUUCCCCUCUGUGUGACUCAGUAACAGUCACCUCCCUUUUUUAUUUUUCCUAGUUAAAGGUCAGCCUGAGCUGUGUGUUACAGAUGAAAGGAUGCAGCCCAAAGCCAGCCUAGGGGCCCAGUUUGUGUUGUGGAUGUCUCCUGAGGGCAGUUCUGUUUGCAAGUGUGUGCCUUGCAACUUCUGAGAAGCCUACAGAGAUUGCUAAUGUUUAGGAUAAGUUCUGUCAAAUUUAUUAUUCCGCUAGUAAUUUUUUUUUUUUUCAUAUUUCCUUCACAGAACCCAGCCACUUUCAGGCUGUAGUUUUGAGCCUACUUUGUGCCAAGUGUCAGGAAAGACUUUUUGUCCUCAAAGCUGAAGAGACAUUUCCCACCAGCGCAGACGAAGGUGUCUUUUUCCUCCAAGUACAUAGAGGAGGAGAGGGCAGAAACUGAGCUAAGUUCUCUUCUCACACUUG